GUUCGAGGUGGAAGCAUGGUGACAUGUGGAGCUGACGAAUACUAAUCGAUCGAAGACUUAAUCAA
rnacentral:rRNA from 1 species